rnacentral:rRNA from 1 species
GAUGAACGCUAGCGGCGGGCUUAAUACAUGCAAGUCGAGGGGUAGCAAUACACCAGCGGCAGGGUGCGUAACGCGUAUGCAAACUACCUUUAUAUGGGGGAUACGCCGGGGCAACCCGGAUUAAUACCGCAUCACACUAUUAUACGCAUCGGGUGGACUUAAAAGAUUUUUUGGCUAAAGGCGGGCAAGCGUAAGAUGAGAUAGUUAGCGAGGUAACGGCUCACCAAGUCUACGUUCUUUAGAGGCUCUGAGAGGUGAAUCCCCCGCACUGGCACUAAGGUACGGGCCAGACUCCUACGGGAGGCAGCAGUAGCGAAUAUUGGGCAAUGGACGCAAGUCUGACCCAGCCAAGCCGCGUGCAAGAAGACGGCCCUCUGGGUUGUAAACUGCUUUUGACUGGGAAGAAAAGACUCCUUGCGAGGAGAGUUGACGGUACCAGCAGAAUAAGCCACGGCUAACUACGUGCCAGCCGCCGCAGUAAUAC